CUUGUGCGCCUCACCGUCACCAACUUACAGGAAGUUACGUCACUAUUUAUUAAGUCAAGUUGGCUAAUUUUCCGGAUAUUUUUUUUUAAGAGGAGACGGCAUUGAUUCAGGAUUUCCUUUCAGAACAGCUAAAAUGUUAUUAGCAGUAAUGACCGACAUUUGUUCCCUUACUUCUGUCGAGGCGCUUCCAAUAUGCGGCAGCAAUACUAAAAAAAAUUUAUCCUUUACCUAGUGACUGCAAGAUAACUUGUUAACACUUACGCUCUCAAAGCUUUUUCGGCUUGAAUUAUCCGCCGCGAAGUUGCCAGCAACAACGCUACCGUAAG